rnacentral:rRNA from 1 species
UUCUGGCUCAGGAUGAACGCUAGCGACAGGCUUAACACAUGCAAGUCGAGGGGCAGCACGGGAGUAGCAAUACUUGGUGGCGACCGGCGCACGGGUGAGUAACGCGUAUGCAACCUACCUAUCAGAGGGGAAUAACCCGGCGAAAGUCGGACUAAUACCGCAUAAAACAGGGGCACCGCAUGGUGAUAUUUGUUAAAGAAAUUCGCUGAUAGAUGGGCAUGCGUUCCAUUAGGUAGUUGGUGAGGUAACGGCUCACCAAGCCGACGAUGGAUAGGGGAACUGAGAGGUUGGUCCCCCACACUGGUACUGAGACACGGACCAGACUCCUACGGGAGGCAGCAGUGAGGAAUAUUGGUCAAUGGGCGGGAGCCUGAACCAGCCAAGUCGCGUGAAGGAAGAAGGAUCUAUGGUUCGUAAACUUCUUUUGCAGGGGAAUAAAGUGCAGGACGUGUCCUGUUUUGUAUGUACCCUGAGAAUAAGGAUCGGCUAACUCCGUGCCAGCCGCAGC